rnacentral:rRNA from 1 species
GACGAACGCUGGCGGCGUGCCUAAUACAUGCAAGUCGAGCGAGCUUGCCUAGAUGAUUUUAGUGCUUGCACUAAAUGAAACUAGAUACAAGCGAGCGGCGGACGGGUGAGUAACACGUGGGUAACCUGCCUCAAAGAGGGGGACAACAGUUGGAAACGACUGCUAAUACCGCAUAAGCCCACGACCCGGCAUCGGGUUGAGGGAAAAGGAGCAAUCCGCUUUGAGAUGGCCUCGCGUCCGAUUAGCUGGUUGGUGAGGUAACGGCCCACCAAGGCGACGAUCGGUAGCCGGACUGAGAGGUUGAACGGCCACAUUGGGACUGAGACACGGCCCAG